rnacentral:rRNA from 1 species
UACGUAGGCAGCAAGCGUUGUUCGGAAUUACUGGGCGUAAAGCGUGUGUAGGCGGUUGGGUAAGUCUGGUGUGAAAUCUCCCGGCUCAACUGGGAGGGUGCGCCGGGAACUGCCUGGCUGGAGUGCGGAAGAGGAGAGUGGAAUUCCCGGUGUAGCGGUGAAAUGCGUAGAGAUCAUGAGGAAGACCAGUGGCGAAGGCGGGUCUCUGGACAGUUCCUGACACUGAGACACGAAGGCCAGGGGAGCAAACGGG